ensembl:lincRNA
GUUCUUGGGUGGGAGAGGUGGGGGCUAUAUUCUUGUAAUAGGCUGCACAUGAGCCAACAAUGAGCAAAAUAACUUAAUGUGCUAUGAAGUCACUAGAGACUGCAAUGGUAAGAAUGACUAUUUGGGGUGAGGGGGAGGAGAUAAUUUAUAUAGGACUGUCAGAGUAGGCUGCACUGAGGAGGUAACAGCAGAUAGAAUCAUCCAGAAAAGCGAUAUUCCUAUUGCUAUGUUCUGUUGCAGAACUCUGCCGUUCCCUCUUCAAGUGGUAGAGUCUGUUUUCUCCACUUGAACUUGUACAGGUGUUUCCGUUUGCAUAACUAAUAACCAAGUUCAAUGUUACUGAUGCUGUGUGACUUCUUUGUCAUAAAAAAGACAGCACAGCUUCCACCUGACUUUUCUGGGACCCAACCAAGAUCCCUUGCCCUCAACCCUGGUUUAACCAAGAGGUGACUGCCAGUCUCAGUGGGCCAGCCAUGGAAGCGAGCCACUUUAGAAGUAGUUCCUCAGUUGAUUUACCCCCGCUGAUGCUGAGUGGAACAAAAACGCAUCUUCCUCCUGAAGCCCUGCCUGAAUUUCAGAGACAUCGUAAGUGAAAUAGAUAGCUGCUCUUUUGAAGCCACUGAGUUCAGAGGUAUUUCAUUAGGGAUCUAUAGUGCUGAGCUCAGUUCUAAAUACUAAGGAGCCAUUCAUGAAGAAAUCUUCACAAAGCCUUUUAAGCACUGCCAGCAACAAUGGCAAUAGAUCCCAUGGCUCUAAGCACACUGAAGGAGCAGGCAAGGCCGCGAGGCCAAGGAGGGGAGCAGUAAGACAGGUGGCUACAGAGGAAGGCUGGAGACUCAUCAUGCAGCGCCUCCUGCACCACGGACAAGAAUUCCUCUACCCUUGUCAGAAAAUUGAUACCUGCUGUGUUCAUCUGGAGGCGGAUUCUAAUCAGAGAAUAUUCAGUCUGUAGAAAAUGGAGACUUCCUUUGGUAGAAAGAAAGCUGCACUGAGAAUCUGCAGCUCAGAACCCUGGAUUUCAAUUCUGGUGCUUUAGCUCAGAGGUUUGUGAUGUGAAAUUCCUCCAGGAAUCUUGUUCAAGGAAUGUGGCUCACUCACCUGCUCCGGAUCCAAGACAGAGUCAACCACUCUCAGAAUGCUUCGAAUGGCUGUUCUGGUUCAAAGAUGCCUUGCUCUUUUAUCAUUCUUAUACAGCACUGAAAAGUCCACCUGUAUGAAAACUGUCUAUUAUCGUAUGGUUCUUUCCACCACAGCAAGCCAGGCUGUGUGUGAUCCCCACUCAGGGAAGUCCAUAGAAAUAAAAUGACUUGUGCUAAGGAGUGAGACUGCUGGGUGGGAAGGGGUAAAGAUAUGCAUGGCAGGAGAGUUCCUUUUAAAAAGCUAGUGCAACAUCCUUGCUAGAUUUCUAUUUAAUGGUAAUAUUUAAACACAAAGUAAAAAUUAUUCAAGUCUUAUAAAUAAAUUAUUCCAGUUUAAGUAAGAGAGCAAAAUGUGAAGAAAAAAAAAAUACCCACCUACCCUCCACCAGUCAAUAAUGUAUUGCCCAUUGUUGUAGGCUGAGUAUCCCAAGAUAUAAACUCUCAAGGAAACUUGUGUGCAAGUUAUUGGGAAGUACUCUCAGAAACAUCUGGGAGGGGAAGAGAGGAGCAAGAUGAAGCCAAGAGAAAACAGGUUGCCAAGUAGUUGCAGGUUGCAACAGAGGUUGCAGCCAUCCCUGGGGGGAGCUCUGAAGCUAGGAUUGCCCUUCAUCACUGUGCCAAACUGAAGCAAAGGGCACAUGCAUUUGUACUACAUAAGAGCCAGUCAUUGGAUGCAAUCUCUCCCCAGGGAGGAACUUCGGCUUGGCAAGGUAGCUACUUGCAGCUGAGGGCACUGUCUGGAGAGGCACUCUGUAUAAGCCGGCAAUAGGCAACAUUUCUCGCAACUGGGUGAAGUGUGCUGGUCCCAAGAAAGGGCAUCCGCAGAACACCACACAGUAUCCAGGACAUCCGUACCCUCCUAAUCUCUCCCCAGAAACAAAAGCCUUGGCAUUGAAACAUGUAUCCCUCCAGACCUGUGUUUUGGAAUUCAUAUAUAUUUUCAUACACAGGCGUAUAUGUACAUAACUUUUCUUUAAUUAAAGGAUUCAUAAGAUGCAUUGUUUUAUUGCUUUCUUCACUUGUAUUAGAG